rnacentral:misc_RNA from 1 species
GUUCGAAGUUCGGACAUAUUUGUUUUGAAAAGUGAUUCAAUUUGGAUCUCGUUUUCGCUUAGAUUCUUGCUUCCUCGUUAAAACGACGAUCACGUGUGACGUAAAAUUGUUUUCUCACCAUUUUCGUUAUUUCUGUUGCUCUGGUUAUCCUGUUUGCUAUUGUUUUAUUCAACAGUGAAUUCAAAAUAAAUUAGACUGAAAAUGAAGAGACGACGGUCUGUGGAGCCAUUGAAGAAAAGUACCAGCAAUAAUCAACUAAAGAUUUCGAAGUUUUUUCAUGCCAAUCCCAGCAUUAAAAAUGAUGCAAUCGUGGAAACUAGUACUAUUAAAUCCGUAAAAUCCUUUAAGGUUGGUAUUCCUUUUGCAAUUGAUGUUUUGCAGAAUGAAUCGCCUAUUACUGAAAAAAACAGUGAAAGAGUACCAUCGAGUGGCAUAUUGAAGCUUACAAAAUUUGUUCAUUCUGAUGACAAUAAUUUGAAUGAAGAAACUCAAGAAAACAUGGACACAGCAGCAACAUGUUCAUCAGAAGUUAAUUUUUCACCAUCCAAAAUCCAUGGAGACUUGCCAAAAACCAUCAGUAGCAGCCUAUUAGAUCACAAAGAAUUAAAUUUGAAAUUGACCCCUCUGGAACAACAAAUAGUUGCACUGAAGGAGAAAUAUCCUGAACUUCUCCUUGUGGUUGAGUGUGGCUAUAAAUUCCAAAUAUUUGGAGAAGAUGCAGACAAAGCUGGAACUAUAUUGAACAUGGCUACUUACAAGAAAAACAAUUUUUUUAGCUGUAGUUUUCCUCUUCAUCGUUUGAUGGUUCACGUCAAGAAACUAGUUACACAUGGAUGCAAAGUUGGAAUCGUUCGCCAGAAAGAAACGACUGCUCUGAAAGCGGUAGGAGCCUCUAAGCAUGCCCCUUUCAAAAGGGAACUAGAGAUUGUUUACACUAAAGCAACGUUAAUUGUUGACGAUGAUUGCGACGGCGUCAUCGACGUCCAAUGUGUAGACAUUCCGCUGUGUAUCAUUUUCGUCGCAGAAGCCUACGCCAAGACCGAUGGGUCAACAGCCCAAAUUGGAAUUUUGGCAUUUUUCACUCAAGACGCAAAAUGUAUUUUCGACCAUUUUCAAGAUGAUUGCGCUCGAAGUCGCUUGGACAGUUUAUUGACACACCUGCAGCCGGCAGAGAUAGUAUUGCCCGAUCAAGGAAUCACUAAUCGAACACUUGAUCUUGUCAAGCAAUUUGCUCUGUAUAAACUGUCUAACGGUGAUUGCAUUCGAACGGAAUUUACCUCACAUUUCCAUUGGGCCAUUGCCUCGGAAAUGCUUUCGAAAGUUUAUGGUGAUGAUGCUGAUAUGAUGGACAAAUUGAAAGAUAUCCCACCCGUAAUUCACUGUUGUAUUGCUAUGGCUCACGAACACUUAAAACAAUUUAAAUUGGAGCAAAUGGUUAAAAUGAUUAACGAUGUGAAACCCUACGAAGCUUUCGAUGACAACGUUUUACAAAUGGAUGGAAACUGCGUGCGGAAUUUAAAUUUGGUACCCUUAACCAAUGAAACUGGUCCACAGCUUAUAGGUUCAGUUUAUCAUGUUCUCAAUCAAACGAGGACGAAACCUGGCGCUAGGCUUUUACGUUCAUGGCUUUUACGUCCGUUGGCUUGCCGUGAUUUAAUCGAAUCAAGACUCGAAGCCGUAGGAUUUUUCGUUGACCACUUCGAAGAUCCUGAACUAGCACCAUUUAAAAAGUUUCUUAAAUCUCUUCCAGAUUUAGAAAAACAAUUAACUGCGGUUCUUCACUCCAGAUCAAGGCCAAAGGAGUUUCAUGGACUGUGCAAGUCUUGGGAACAACUCACAAUUUUAUGUGUUGAACUUCAAUCUCACUACAAAAAUGUCUUACCGUUAUCUGUUGCACUUUUGAUCAAUUCGGCUGUAGAUUCUUUGAAAAUGGCGCCUUUCUAUGCUGAACAAUUGAGUGACGUUGCUAUUUCCUCUGGUGAAAAAACGAAAUUAUUUAAUCGUCUCGAGGAUUAUCCAGAAAUGAAAAUGUUGUUUGAAAAGAUUCAGCAAACAGAAAGCAAAAUUCAAGCACUGAAACCCUCCAUUUGUAAAAGCAUUGGCUUGCUAGCAUUGAAUUACGUAACCGUAUCUGGCGACGAAUAUCUAAUUGAGGUUAAAAACGCUUUGAUUCGUGCGGUCCCCUCAUCGUGGAUCAAAAUUAGCGCGACGAAGCAGUGUUGUCGCUAUCGAAGCCCUGAAGUCCAGCAACUUUUCGGGGAAUUGUGUUGCCUGAGAGAGUUGUUAAAAAUUUCUGCAGACGAGGCUUGGUUACAAUUUCAACGUAUAGUGUCCACGACAUCGUAUUCCACUUUUAGGAGAGCUAAUAAUGCAAUCGCUACAUUAGAUUGUCUUAUUGCUCUUUCCGACGUGGCAAAAUCCGAAAAUUACGUUAGACCAACGUUCGUAGAUGAAGCUGGAGUAUUGAAUAUCUCACAAGGACGCCAUCCUGUUUUAAGUCGUAUACUCCAGCAAACUUCCAGCGCUGAAUAUAUCCCAAAUGACACAAAAUUGAAUACCGAUGGCGUCCGUUGUAUGAUUAUCACAGGACCUAAUAUGGGCGGAAAAUCCUGCCUACUUUCACAAGUAGGAAUUCUAGUCGUCCUGGCUCAAAUUGGUUCUUUCGUUCCAGCAGUAGAGACAACUCUUAGUGUCUUCAAAUCCAUUUUUAUCAGAAUGGGACUGCAUGACGAAAUAUAUGCAGGAAGAAGUACCUUUUUUAUAGAAAUGAUGGAAACGUCCGCCAUUCUGAAGAGUUGUACUUCUCGCUCUUUGGUGAUUAUCGAUGAGCUCGGUCGAGGAACAGGAACACAUGACGGUAGUGCUAUUGCGUAUGCAGCUUUGAAAUACCUUGUGAAACAGACGAAAUGUAUCACGCUCUUUGUAACGCACUACCCAGUAAUUGUGCAAUUGGAGGACGAAUUCCCAGGUCACGUGGCUAAUUAUCACAUGGGUUAUUAUCAAUGGGUUAUAUUUUAGAGUCAGAGAAAGCCGACAAUGUGCAAGCUAAAUGCGAUGAGGAGGCCUUGGUUUUCCUAUAUACACUCACUCCCGGAAAUAGCCCUUAAAGUUUUGGAUUAAAUGUUGCCCGUCUUGCCGGAAUUCCGUCGUCCAUCACUGAUAGGGCCAAAUUGAAGUCGGAAUCAUUCUUUACUGUAGCGGAAUCACAGCGAACCAAAAUUGCGGAAUUCAAACGCAUAUUUUACAAAAAUCAUGAAUAAUCUUCUUGGUACCCUACAUAUUUAUUUUAUAUUUUUGCUUUUUCUCAUUUGUUGCAGUUGGCAGAUUUUCUUUAAAUUUGAUAUGCAAAGUGUAUGAAAAUAUUCCAAAACUGAUUAUACCAAGAUUACUCACUACAUGCGACCACAUGUGAGCAGCAGCUCUUCUGGCGUGUAACACUGUAAACAUUGCUGGACGGUGCGGUACUUAUUAUUUCCAUGUUAAUAAGUAGAAGCACGCGUAUUUUUAUAAUAACGCAAACGAUUAGUUUUCUUUAUUUAAAUCUGUUCAUUGAGAAGAACAAGUAGACAUUAAAUGAACACACAAUCUUUUA